rnacentral:piRNA from 1 species
UAGUUCUAUUAGUUCUGCAGC